rnacentral:lncRNA from 1 species
GUUAGUGAUAAAUCAUACACUGUUCAUUUUGCGUAGAUGGAACAUAUUUAAUUCUGAUGUACAGAGUUUCAAUUUAGCCAGGCUCAUUGCUGAGCGAAAUGAGUCUUUUGUAACUUCAGAGGAAAGAGAAAAGGCGGUUGUCUGAGCAUGGCCAAGUGGGGCCAACGAGAAAUAUGUACCUUGACCAGCCAGGAGGUUCUGGAAGAGCUUUGUGUGUGUGUGUGUGUGUUUUUCUCCCUUCUAGACAACUUGGUUAUUUGUACUGACGUUUUAUUAGGAAUAUCAGAUGUUCCGUAAAUAGCAUAAAUGACUAGAGAUGUUAAACAAAAUAGUCUCAAGGUAGAUAGUGUUUCCCUGAAGAAUGGAGAAAAAUAUAACAAAGGGUGAAUGUUUGGACAGAGCUCUGUUUAAAUGGCCGGUGUGUGUUCAACAGGGACUGUUGAAGUUGUGGUGCCUGUUAAACCCUAGUUUUAAUUCAAAAAAAAAAAAAAGAAAAAAGAAAAAAAGAAAAUGGAGUUUCUCAUCUCCAGUAAGGUUAUGCUUGGUAAUGGUUUAUUUAAAGAGAAGUCAUACUUGAAAGUCAGCAUCUUUUUCUAGCUCCAUAAAAUCUUGUGGGAAAACAGUGACCCCACAUCCACUGUCAGGAGAAUUCCUAGCACAAUUCUCUCUGAAGAUGUUUCUCCACGCGUGGGGGGGACCAUUCGAUUUACUGCAGCAUGUAGUGACAAGGAGAAAGCAAAAGAAUAAUUAGCUCUGUUUUAUAGGAUGCACGAGAGAGAGAGAGAAAGAGGGAGAGGGAUUGGAGGCUGCAGAGGAAGGGAUUGAGGGGAAGUCUGCCCUAAUGCUCUUUUUCUUUUAAGUGCAUAACCAAAACGAUUCUCUUAAAAGCAAACAUUCCCACCCUAGCUUGGGCCAGCCAUGUUCUGCCAUCUUCCUGCCACUAUCUCGUCCGUCCAGGUUGGCUGUGACCGGCUGGGCCAUCUGCUGUUCCAGUAGUGGCUUUCUGUAUGCUAAGGCAGGCCAAUUGGGUCAAAUUUUGUGAUCUGGCAGAUGUCCACUGGAGCUAAGAUCAGGCCAGACUCAUUUUUAUGUGUGUCCAAAGCCAAGAUUUCAACUUGGUGAAAGGCUGUGGAAUUUAUUUCCCAAAGCAUUGCCCACACUCCGUCCUCCUUUCUUCGCUCCCCCCACCCCUUUGCACAGGGAUGAUUGCUUAAUGCUCCCAAUUAUGCC